rnacentral:lncRNA from 1 species
GUACAUCGACCUGAUCGUCGGAAACUCCUUCGGUCUGAACACCGGAAAAUUGGCCUUGUGCCAUGAGUACAUCGACCUGAUCGUCGGAAACUCCUUCGGUCUGAACACCGGAAAAACAUAAGACAUAUUAUCUAAAGCCGUCAAAACGUAGAUAAUACACUCGCAUGGAAGAUUAUCCAUAACCGGGUUGUAGGUUGUUA